AUACGGAGGAUCCGAGCGUUAUCCGGAUUUAUUGGGUUUAAAGGGUGCGCAGGCGGCCAUUUAAGUCAGCGGUUAAAUCGUGGGGCUCAACCCCAUUCUGCCGUUGAUACUGGGUGGCUUGAUUGCGGUCGAGGUUGGCGGAAUUCGUUGUGUAGCGGUGAAAUGCAUAGAUAUGACGAAGAACACCGAUUGCGUAGGCAGCUGACCAGACCGCAAAUGACGCUCAUGCACGAAAGUGCGGGGAUCGAACAGGAUUAGAUACCCUGGGAGUCCGCACAGUAAACGAUGAAUACUUGUUUUCGGCGAUAUAAUGUCGGAGGCAAAGCGAAAGCGAUAAGUAUUCCACCUGGGGAGUACGCCGGCAACGGUGAAACUCAAAGGAAUUGACGGGG
rnacentral:rRNA from 1 species